rnacentral:sRNA from 1 species
GGUUUUAUGUGGAUACAAUGAUGCGUAUAAACGGGGCAUACCUGCGAAGACAUAGACAUGGCCUGCGCCUGGUUGAAUAAAUAAAGAAAAGGGAAAAGAUAUAAAAUAGGAUAUAUGUACACUGGGUGGUGGUCUUGGUGUGCGUUUAUAUGUAUGUAUACUUUUGGAGGCUUUUAUACAACGAAAUAUGAUUGAAAAAAAAAGAAGGGGGGAGAGGGAGAGGGAGAGGAGAAUGACUUGAUUUAUUUCACAAAAUGGUUUUCGCGCAGAGGAACAGGAGAAAAUGAGGAAAAGGCGCAACGAUACCCGUUGGCAUUGAAUGUAGUAAGGAGGUAUUUAGGAAGAGAGGAGUAUUUAUGCUACAUUUUGGGGUGAGGGAAGGGG